rnacentral:rRNA from 1 species
UACGUAGGGGGCUAGCGUUGUCCGGAAUCAUUGGGCGUAAAGAGCGUGUAGGCGGCCCGGUAAGUCCGCUGUGAAAGUCGGGGGCUCAACCCUCGAAAGCCGGUGGAUACUGUCGGGCUAGAGUGCGGAAGAGGCGAGUGGAAUUCCUGGUGUAGCGGUGAAAUGCGCAGAUAUCAGGAGGAACACCGAGUGCGAAGGCAGCUCGCUGGGACGUAACUGACGCUGAGACGCGAAAGCGUGGGGAGCAAACAGG